UAUAUAUGUAUAUCUAAAAUGUGUCGAAAAGUUGUAAACAUAAAAUGAAAAGCCUUUGAUUUGCUCUUUGAUCAUUUCUUAUACAUAAGCAUGCAUACAUAUUUAAGUGUAUAUAUAUACAUAUAUAUAUAUAUAUAUAGAUAUAUAUGUGUAUGUGAAAACCCAUUGUGUAUAAGUGAAGCCCGCCCAAAAAGUUUGUAAGAUUCGAAAUUAUGUUGUUGAUUCAUUGUAAUCCUCUCUUGCUCUCAUCUUAUUGCCAAUUUCCUAUUUAUUAUAAGCUAUUAUUUGUUUUCACAUUCAAAUACUCUAUACAAAAACAAAUGA